GUGCGCGCGCCUGCCCUUUGUUACGCCGCCUUGACGUGCCCCCGCGUCCCGCCCCGCCCCCGUCUACUCUCGCGCGGCGCGCGGGCCCCGAGGGGCAGGGCGUCUGGGAGGUGGGGCGGGGCGUUGCCCGCGCACCUCACAGCAGCCCCUGGAGGGCGGGCGGCCGCCGCGCCGGGCAACCCAGGUGCCGCAGCGCCGGGGCUGUGCGCCCUGGCCCCGGCCUCCGGACCCCGCUCACCGCCGUGGCGCGCCCCCGGGAUUCCGUCCCCCACACGGGGAGCGCUCCCUAAAGGGGGGUCUCCGCGUUUCUGAGCUGCGUCAGGGCCCGCGUACUGCCGCCUCCCCCGGGGUACACUAGCCUAGGUUCUGGAGGGUGAAGUCAGCCCCGCUGAGUGAGAAGAGGCUUGAAUCAUCAGUUACCUGGUCGUCUUGGGGCUGCUGUAGUAUGCAGUGAGAUACGGUUGUUUAUGUAAAGAACUUAGCUCAAGGCCCGGCACGCUCCAGACAGUGAAGCCAAGGAGUUCAGGGGUUGCUGUAGACGAUCUCCAUGUUUCCUCGCAGUUGCAACUUUCCAACGUCUACCUCAACACUGAUCACUCUACUCAAAUCUAGGGGGUACCUGCUGGAGUUUGUAAGUGUAUUUCUCAUCAUCUCUUCAGACUUCAAAUACCUAACCCAAGCUUAUCACCUCUCUAAAAUUCGUCCUUCUUUAGCCCUUCUCCUUCCCGUUCUUAAAGGAUAUUUUUGCCUCCAGUACCAAUGCCUCCCCACUAGUUUAUUCUGCAUAUUGCUAUCCGAUUGCCAUUCCGUGCUAAGUAAUCUGAUAAUAAAUCUUGAGAGUAAAGUUCACAUUCUUUUUUUUUUUUCUGUUUU
rnacentral:lncRNA from 1 species